rnacentral:misc_RNA from 1 species
UGUCGCAUAUUCAUAAAUAAGUAUAUGCAAUCAGUAAAUGGGCAUGUACAGCAUGAGUCGUCCAACACAGCAACGCACAAUGCCACAACAGAAGCCGCCGAAGCAGUACCUUACCGAGCAGGAGGCCAUCGCGGCCUCCGAGCUCUUCGAUCUCUUCUGCGUCGCAACGACAAUGCGCCAGAUUUUGGGUUUGCAUCGCGACAUGUGCGACAUACUGGGCUUACGACCAGCCCCGAUCAACGAAUUCUACCCGAUGUUGAAGGCGAAGAUUCGUUCGUGGAAAGCGCAGGCGCUAUGGAAGAAGUUCGAUGCACGUGCGGCGCAUCGCGUCUACGCAAAAGGAACAGCGUGCAAUGGCACGCAUGUGCUAGUCAUUGGCGCAGGUCCAUGUGGCUUGCGCACCGCCAUUGAGGCGCAGUUGUUGGGUGCCAAAGUCGUUGUGCUGGAGAAACGCGAUCGCAUUACGCGCAACAAUGUGCUGCACUUGUGGCCGUUCGUCAUUACCGAUCUGCGGAAUUUGGGUGCAAAGAAAUUUUAUGGAAAAUUUUGUGCCGGUUCCAUAGAUCACAUAUCCAUUCGGCAGUUGCAAAUCAUAUUAAUGAAGGUUGCGCUGCUGCUAGGUGUCGAGAUACAUGAGAAUGUGUCCUUUGAGCGAACAAUUGAGCCGAGUGGCGAUGGCUUCGGCUGGCGUGCGGCUGUAACACCAGCGGAUCAUGUGGUUUCAUAUUAUGAAUUCGAUGUUUUAAUCGGAGCCGAUGGUAAACGUAACACACUGGAAGGAUUCAAACGAAAGGAGUUUCGUGGAAAGCUGGCCAUAGCAAUUACGGCCAAUUUCAUAAAUAAGAAAACAGAGGCAGAGGCUAAAGCGGAGGAGAUAAGCGGCGUAGCGUUCAUAUUCAAUCAGUCCUUCUUCAAGGAGCUAUAUGAGAAAACGGGCAUCGAUUUAGAGAAUAUCGUCUAUUAUAAGGACGAGACGCACUACUUUGUUAUGACCGCGAAGAAACACAGUCUCAUAGACAAAGGUGUUAUAAUACAGGAUUUCUCCGAUCCGGCCGAACUGCUCGCUUCAGCUAACGUGAGCGCCGAAAAGUUGCUCGAUUAUGCGCGUGAAGCGGCCGAAUUCUCCACAAAGUACCAAAUGCCAAAUCUUGAGUUCGCCGUGAAUCAUUAUGGCAAACCCGACGUCGCCAUGUUCGAUUUCACAUCCAUGUUCGCCGCGGAGACAUCGUGCCGUGUGAUGUUGCGGCACGGCCAUCGUUUGUUGCAAUGCUUGGUAGGUGACAGCCUGCUGGAGCCCUUCUGGCCCACUGGUUCGGGCUGCGCGCGCGGUUUCCUUUCUAGCAUGGAUGCCGCAUAUGCGACUAAACUUUGGUCUAACCCGCGCAAUAGUAUUAUGGGCGUUGUGGCGCAGCGUGAAAGUAUAUACAGACUACUUAAUCAGACCACACCUGAGAAUUUACAGCGGGACACAGGCUCUUAUACAGUUGAUCCAGCCUCAAGGUAUCCCAAUCUGAAUCGCACGGCUGUCAGCCCCUACCAGGUGAAAACGCUCAUCGACUCAGAUGAUCCAAAGGUAUUCGAGCAGCCAAUAGCCGAAAUCAUAACAACGCCAGCGUUAGCUGAGGGCCCAGCGUUGUUGCGCAAAACCCGUCGUAGUACAGAUAUUGUGCCUGAAGCUUUGCUACAUUGGGUUUGCACUCAGCUGCAUAUGUACGAUUUCGUAAAGGAAUUACAGGAACCUGCCGACAUACUUAAAAAUGGAAAAUCACUAUGCGCCUUAAUCAGCCGUUUUCGGCCGGACUUAAUCGAUUACUCAGCAACACGUGACUUAACGCUGGCUGAACGCAAUGAAGUUGCUUUCAGAAUAUUAGAAGCGGAAUAUCAACUGCCACGCAUCAUGAGCGGUGAGAAAUCUGUAGAUCUAGAGAAAGUGGAUACACGUCACUGGCUGCACUAUUUGAAUCAAGUGCGUGAAGUGUUCCGCGGUGAAGUGCCGUAUCUGAAACAUCCAAAGAUGGAUAUCUCAGAGCUGCGCGAAAAAUACCGUCUCAACAAUGCGCAUGCGCAGCCAGACUUCUCGAAAUUGUUGCAACUUUCGACCAAGCCGAAAUAUCCGAAAGCAAAAAGUCCCAUCGAGGAUAUGGUGGACGUGCCGCAAGUGGUGCAACGCCGCUCGGUGCUGGAUGAAGAGCGUGUAAAACGCGUGCGCAGGCAUGAGCCGGCUGCAGGCGGCCCAGCUGCAGCUAGUUCGCCACAACAAGGUCAAACCGAUACACCACGUCGUGCCAAGAAGAGAAGAAAUGUCGAGAAGGCUGCUAAUAUUGAAGAACGACAAAAGCGCCUACAAGAAAUCGAACAAAAUCGCCAGGAGCGUAUAAGCAAACGUCGACAGCAACGUUAUCAACAGACACAGAACUUUUACAAGAGCUUGCAAAUGUUGCAAGUGAACACAUUGCUGCGUGAAACUGACGAUCCGACCGCAUUUGAGGACUACUCAUUGUUCAUAUAUCGCCAACAUGCGCCGGAGUUCAAUGAUCGCGUGAAGGAUUUGGAGCGCAAAUUGCUGUAUCCUGAUCGCAAUCGCGGCGAUAUACCAUCAGCCAUGCCACGAAAUAAUCCGGAUGAACAGUUUAGUGAUCGCAUCAAAUCUAUGGAGCAACGCAUAAGCUCGAAGAAUGCUUGUGGCAAUGAUAAGAAGCCCAAAGACUUAAUGCGUGCCAUUGGCAAGAUCGACAGCAAUGAUUGGAAUGUGCGCGAAAUCGAAAAGAAAAUCGAACAAUCAAAACGAACUGAAAUACACGGUCCGAAAGGACGUGAAAAGGUGCCGAAAUGGAGUAAAGAACAAUUUUUGGCUAGACAAAAUAAAAUGGCAAAACCAACGCGCCAAGAAUCUGUAGAGGAGAAGUUCAAAGAGAUCGAUCAAACCUUAAAAAAUUUGGAUAAACAGCUAAAGGAGGGUUCCAUACUGGAAGUUGGUGAACGCGGCCGCAACAAGGUCGCAUCAAUUGCUGGGCAAUUUGUUAAGAAAGAUGAUAAAACGAGCGACGAAAAGAAUCCUACUCCCGCCGCUGUCAAUAGCGCGCCGAAAUCCAGCGCUAAGGUCGCGUUGGCAUUUAAGAAGCAAGCCGCGUCCGAAAAGUGCCACUUCUGCAAACAAAUCGUUUACUUAAUGGAAAAAAUCACCGCCGAAGAUCUCGUAUUUCAUCGUUCGUGUCUGAAGUGUCAUCAUUGUCAUACAAAUUUGCGUCUCGGCGGCUAUGCAUUCGAUCGCGACGAUCCAAAUGGACGCUUCUACUGCACGCAACACUUUAAGCUGCCAGCAAAGGCAAUACGUCCUGUAGUCAGAAAACCAGGUCAAAGGAAGCCAACUCAGCAGCAACAAGCUGCCGCCGCUGCAGCUGCUGCCGUCGACAUUACCGUUACAACGGCGGACGCUGCAAGUGGAAUCACACAAACAGACCUACCCAAAACGCCUGAUAAACUUCGUGGCCCCGCUGACAGCGUUGUACAGCUCGAUUUAUUGGACCGUGGUCAAACACCGGAACGUAUCGAAUUCGAAAAUACCGAUGCUAUGUCCGAUGGUGAACCUUCGGAGGAGCAUAUACUCGAUGAGCACGAGUGGUCGGGCAGAAAUUUCUUGCCUGAAUCUAAUCAAGAUUCUGAAUCGGAUCUCUCCAGUUCCGAUGACUCGGAUACCGAGUCUGAUGCUGAUAUGUUCGAAGAGGCAAAUGACUCACCAUUGGCCGCACAAACAUUACAGUUGGCCACCGAUUGGAUUGGCAAACAACAUUACUCCGAUAGUGAUGAUUCAGAUGAUUUUUAUGAUUCGAGUGACGGAAUUGCGGAUGACGAUGGUAAAGACGAUACCGAAGGUGAAGAUUUCAAAAAGGCUCGUGAACUACGUCGAGAAGAAGUGCGCCUACAGCCACUGCCCGCGAACUUGCCCACUGACACGGAAACUGAGGUUCAAAGCGAAUCAGAGUCGACAUCUCCCGAGGAGGUUGAGCUCAAUUCAGCCACGGAAAUUUCCACUGAUUCGGAGUUCGAUCACGAUGAAAUAAUUCGUGAGACACCUAAAAUAUUCAUCGAUGAUACUCACCUCAGAAAACCAACAAAAGUUCAAGUAAAAUCUACCGUUAUUGCUUCGACUGCCAGUCAACGACAUCACAUACCAUCCGCCAACACUGCUAAUGCACAUAACUUGAGGGGCAGUUAUCUGCAGAAGUAUCAAGUUAACCCACCACAACCACAAUUCAAACCACUUGUACAGGUGGAUCCGACGCUCUUAACGAAAAGUCGUACUCCCUUACAAAAUCCACGUCCCGGCGAUUAUCUGCUCAAUAAAACGGCCAGUACGGAGGGUAUCGCCUCAAAGAAAAGUCUAGAGCUCAAGAAACGUUAUUUGCUUGGUGAACAGGGCAAUGGCAAUAAGAUACAAAAAUCUGGCUCUACUUCGGUACUUGACUCACGCAUACGCAGUUUCCAGUCGAAUAUAUCCGAAUGCCAAAAGUUACUGAAUCCAGGUAGCGGCAUUUCAGCCAGCAUGAAAACCUUUUUGGAUCGUACGAAAUUAGGCGAAAGUACAAACAAUGAUUUAAUGCGUUCGGCAACAACAAACAUUUUGAACGACCUCAAAGUUGAAAUUACGAUACAGAAGGCCUCUUCCACUGCUUCGACAGAUAAUGAGAAGGAAAACGUGUUUGUGAAUAGUAAAAAUGAGCUAAAUAAAGGUAUGGAAUAUUCGGAGACUGUUAAUACGACUCUAGUCGAGACUGUCAACAACAAAAAAUCACCUUCAACACCAACUAAUAGUCACACAAUUUUGGCCACAAUAGAUUUAGUUACACCGGAAAAGGAAAAACCAAAAUCUAUAAUAGAUAUUACGAAGGUAGAUAUACCAACGAAAAUGUUGGAAUCGAAUAUCGAUUUCAUAGAGAACAUUAAUGUUGACGAUGCUGAGAUGAAACCUAAUUCCCCUGAAAAUAAUGAUGCAUUGCUCACUGCCGAUAGUAAUAAAAUUAUAGAUCUUACAUGCGAAUCACCAGUAAAAAGUGACAAUACCAUAAUAGAAGAACUGAAGCCCGAUGUAUCGAAAGAUGUUAAAGAAAGAAUACCCGAUUUACUGGGUCAUAUUGGACAGGAAGUAAAAUCAGCAGGUAAGACAACACCUUUACGUCAAACAGAGGAUCAACAGCAUCUUUUGAGUCACUCUUGCGACGAGGAGAAAAUGGAUUCACCAGAAAAACUGGAAGAACUUUUCGAGAACGAUACGUUACAAAUACAAGUGCCGAACAUACCGUGGAGCACACGCAAAAUGGACACAAUGUCAUCAACCGAAGGCUCCAGCUGCACAUCUGGCUCAUCGAGCAUCGAAGAUAUACAACACUAUAUAUUGGAGUCAACCACUAGUCCAGAUACACAAACCGGUGGUAUGGCCAUUGGACAUCAAGUACCACGUGUAGAAAUCCAUGACACAUCCGGAACACUCAUGCAAAUUGAUAGUUUGAUGAUAAUUGAUGGUAAAUAUAUUGGUGAUCCUGAAGAUCUGAAAUACAUGGAAAUACCUGCGGGCGUAGUAGUACCAGAGACGCCUGCCAUCAAGACAUCGGAAAUCGAGGAUGAAAACGAAGCUGAUAUGGAACCAGUUACUGCAACACCCGAACCGGUAGAAUGUACGGUAAUUGAGGCUGAACCAAAUAAAUUAGAUGAGGGUGAAGAGACAGAGAAUGCGUAUACUGAAGCACAAUUACCACCAUUGCCUGAGAGAGGUCCGCCAUUGCCAGAACGGGGACCACCAAAUAUAAAAACGUAUAAUCUUAAAUUCGAUACUAAAAACGAAAAUAAGGUAGAAAGUCUUAAGCAUCUUCCGUUAAUCGUUGAACAAACUAUGGAGCAUACAAAAGCGGUUAAACCACUUACGCUGAAUUUGAGUGCUGUUCAAAAAUCACCAAACACGCCCACAACACCUACAGCUUCUUCAAUCGCUUGCCCUGCCAUAGACCACACACCAAAUUCACCGCUUGUGGACAGUGAUAUAACACCGACGGGCGAACUAAUGUCUCGCGGAUCCGACUCAGAAACCGAACUGACCGGAACCGGUCAGGCGUUAACUGAAACCGAGUUGUCGGACUGGACAGCGGACGAUUGUAUUUCGGAGAAUUUCAUUGAUAUGGAGUUCGUGCUUAACUCUAAUAAGGGAACGAUUAAACGUAAUAAAAAAGAGAAGAGGCGUAUGUCUGCAGCUUCGAAAUUGCCGACCACAAUUGAAAUGCUGGGUGAGAUAAAUAAAACAGCGCCGGUUGCGGAAUUCGAGGGCAUACUGAAAUCUAUCGAUAUUGAUGAUAUUGAAUUCAUGGAUACCGGCUCUGAGGGUUCAUGUGCGGAAGGAUAUUCUGCUACCAACACAGCGCUGUUGCGGAAUCGCGGAUAUGUGGAGUUUAUCGAAACUACACCAAAGCAAACCCCUACGCACAAAACAAAUUCACUCAAAUCUGCCGCUGGUACACAUAAACCAGUUGCUACCAAGCGUGAUGAGAAACUUGGUGUAGAUUACAUUGAACAGGGCGCUUAUAUCUUACAAAACGAUGAUCAUGAACAUGAUAUGCUUAAGACGCCUGUGAAUGAAGAGUCACAUUUGGUAGCAUCGCUGGCGGAAAAAUCCCAAGCCACAGGUCCGCCUUCACUCAUGACACAAUCACUGACCGAUUCCAGCACACUUAACGAUCUGGAGGACGACAGUCUCUUCACAGCAACACCAAACUCACAAAUUCAAUUAUCGACCGCCACCACUACUAAGACCACAACGGAGGAGAGUGAAGCGUUAACCGUUGUAACUAGUCCGCUUGACUCAUCUUCACCAAAAGUAGCCGAUGUGCUCAACAGUACUUACAUUGUAGAUAAAGGCGCUGAAUUGACAACUGGCUCAACUCCCAGCAGUUCAGAUAAGAAUCCAAAAACCUCACAGUCAACAUGCACAACAAUGAGCAGUUCAACUGCCUCUUCGAACAAAGCAAUACAUCCACAUAGCGUCUCACAAGAAAAUGCUGCACCUUUAGCGACUGCGCCGAAAGCAGCACCACGUAAACCCUCAAAUGAGUUGUCCUAUGAGGAGUGCGUUCGUGCGUUGCAGCAAAAAAUUACACAAAUCAGUACGGCUCGUGAUUCCGAUGUGCGUAAACAAAGGCGAAAGAGUUCCAAAGGUGAAAUGCCCGCCGGAAAUGCUCAAACUGUGAUAGAAGCAACACCAGCCGAAUCGGAAAACGCGAUUGUCAAUGCAUCUGUAACGGCAACUGCCAGUCCUUCGGGAGCGGCUACACAAAUCCACAAGGUACCUGAAAUUCCGACAUUGACACGCAAGCUAGAGGAGAUCACAAAAGAACGCACCAAGCAGAAGGACCUGAUACAUGACCUAGUCAUGGACAAACUACAAUCAAAGAAACAGUUAAACGCCGAAAAACGUUUGCAUCGCAGUCGCCAACGUACGAUGCUAACAAGCGGUUACGCAAGUGGCUCUAGUCUAAGUCCUACACCGAAAAUCGCGGCGGCUACCACAACUACUGACACCAAUUGCACUAGCCGAGCGCACUAUCAUGAAUCCACAGCAGCGACACCGUCGACGACUAUAGCAAGGGACACAGAAGAACGUUCAAAUUGCUCAAAUUUCAGAGAAAGUAUACCACUACAAAAAUCAUCGACAUAUGUGUCCGCCUAUGGAAUGUCCGGCGGUUCGCCAACCCGCAUUAUUGGUUAUCAUCAACGACCCUUCAGCGAACACUUGACCAGCGAGCAAUUGGAUGCAUUCGAAAGAUACAAAUUGACUAAAACUCCAUCGUUUUCGUACGGCUUACCGAAUCAAUCCAACAAAACAACAUUGAAGAAUGAAAGCGCUUACAACUUUGUGACACCAGUUGCACCUGCACGUCCUAAUCGCAAUCAAAAGCCCUUAAUUUCUACCUUAAGUGCAGAUAGCUCACUUUCCGCGUCGACUGAGAAUUUACGCACCGAAGCACGCGCUCGUGCUCGACUCAAAUCGAACACUGAACUUGGUCUCAGUCCAGAGGACAAAAUGCAAUUAUUGCGCCAACGUUUGCAUCUCGAACACUUGGAAACCAAAAAUAACACUGCUACCGCACUACAUUCACAAGUUCCGCUGAAAUCAACAAACGAUACGGAGCAACAGAGCAUAUGUGAUCGCCGGUUGAGCGCUUCGAAAAGUGUCAACGAUUUAGCUUACUUGACAAGCAAACAAUCGGAAUUAUCUGCCGAUGUCAAUUCGAAUACGAAACCAACCGGCGCCACUGCCGAUUUCACAUCCGAUCCAAAUUUGUUACUCUCUUCCAACUCCAUACAGUCCAGCAUGGGAAGCAUCAAUAACAAAGCAGCAGCCAAAGGCAAGACCAGUCGCAGACAAAAGGAUCCUGAACGUCGUAAGAGUUUGAUACAAUCAUUAUCUAGCUUCUUUCAUAAGGAGAAAAAGGACACCGGUAACGGUGGUGGUGGUAACGGUAGCGCAACUAGCGUAGUUGGCUCUGCACAGUCAGAGCGUCCGGGAACUAGUGGCAACAAUGGCACAACAGCUACGAGCGGCAUUGAUAUGGGCGUUUUUGGCCGCUUCCGCAUAUCGCCCAAAACUAAGGAGAAAUCCAAGAUGAGAGCAACGCAACCGAAACACGUGAGCAGAAGCGGCAGCGUGCCAUAUCGAAGGCUGUUAGACAAGCUGAGCUCAAGCGACUCAGAAUCGCUCAGGAGAUUCAGCGUGAGCAGGAGGAAAUCGAGGUGCAAUUAAAAGAGUUGGAGGCGCGUGGCGUUCUAAUUGAGAAGGCACUACGCGGUGAGAGCGAACAGCAUAACAGCAAUUUUGACACAACAAAUAUUGGCAGUAAUGAUGAAAAACUACUGAAGGAGCUUUUGGAGAUUUGGCGCAAUAUAAAACAACUUAA